UGAGAAACGUAAUUUCGAUCUCUUUGUAUGUCUGGAAUAUGUGAAGAAAUUGACAAUAAAGCUGACUUGAUCUGACAUCAGCAGUGAAUCCGAGGAAGUGUCUGAAAUAUCUGACAUUGAGCAGAACUGAUUGAUGACCCAUCAACCCUUGAGGAUCUCAUCACAUAAAUGUUUAUUAUUAAAUCAAUAUGUAUUAUUAAAUGUAUUUAUUUUAACCCUUAA